rnacentral:rRNA from 1 species
GAGUUUGAUCCUGGCUCAGAUUGAACGCUGGCGGCAGGCCUAACACAUGCAAGUCGGGCGGUAGAGAGAAGCUUGCUUCUCUUGAGAGCGGCGGACGGGUGAGUAAUGCCUAGGAAUCUGCCUGGUAGUGGGGGAUAACGCUCGGAAACGGACGCUAAUACCGCAUACGUCCUACGGGAGAAAGCAGGGGACCUUCGGGCCUUGCGCUAUCAGAUGAGCCUAGGUCGGAUUAGCUAGUUGGUGAGGUAAUGGCUCACCAAGGCGACGAUCCGUAACUGGUCUGAGAGGAUGAUCAGUCACACUGGAACUGAGACACGGUCCAGACUCCUACGGGAGGCAGCAGUGGGGAAUAUUGGACAAUGGGCGAAAGCCUGAUCCAGCCAUGCCGCGUGUGUGAAGAAGGUCUUCGGAUUGUAAAGCACUUUAAGUUGGGAGGAAGGGCAGUAAAUUAAUAACUUUGCUGUUUGACGUUACCGACAGAAUAAGCACCGGCUAACUCUGUGCCAGCAGCCG